AAAAAAAAAAAGUGUUUAUCACCUCCCUGCUGGCCUUGCACCUGCUCUGGCUGUGUAAGACAUGCCUGCUCCCCGCUUGCCUUUCGCCAUGAUUGAAAGUUUCCUAAGGCCUCCCCAGCCAUAUUUCCUGUACAGCCUAUGGAACUGUAGGCCAAUUAAACCUCUUUUCUUUAUAGAUUAACCAGUCUCAGAUAUUUCUUUAUAGUAGUAUGAGAAUGGACUAAUACAAUCAGGUUCUGAAGAAACAUCUUAAUCUGUAAAGUUCUGUCUUUAUUUUGCAUUUCUUGCUCUUAUAAUGAACCACACCUCCUGGUAUUCAUGCUUUUGUGUAGUCCUCAUCCUCCUACUUUGAUUGUAGGCUUGACCAAGUGACUUACAUUGGCCAAUGGAAUGUUAACAAAUACGAGGCAAGCAGAGACUUGAUAAACACUUGUACCUGGGAGCAUGUCCUCUUGGAAAGCUUUCUCUUGGACUGCAGUCUUCAUGCUGUAAAUAAGCUCAGGACAGGCCACUAAAUGAUGAGAGACCAUAUGGAAAGAGCCUGAAUGACAAGAGCCAACUUGGACAUUCCUACUUCAGCUGAACUCAGAAUUGAAUGCAGUACCUGAGUGACCUCAGCUACAGAAUAUGAUACAGAUGAACCACACAGCUAAUCCCAGGCAACCACAUACUUGUGGAAUAUAACAAUACAUUGUUGUUUUAAGACAUUAGAUUUUUGGGGUGUUUCAUUUACGUAGCAAUAUACAAUGGCUAUAUAACCUCUUUCUUCCCUUCUUUCAGGACUCAUGGACAGACCAAAUGGAAAUAUCCCCUGAUGUAUCACCAAAAAUACACUGGUGUUCAGAAGAGUCACAGCUCAUAUUUAUCCUGGGAAAAGAUCAUUCAUCUCUUCAAAUGCCUUCACUUUAAAAAUGCUCUUUUGCCUUGGAAGCAAAUGUUUCCAAGAAACACAAGGAUCUUCUAGGUGAGUUUGUAAACCCCAGAUUCCUGUGCUCUCUGGACAGGAGAUUGUGAUUUCGUGGGUUUAGGCUAGGGUGUAGGAAUGCACAUUUUAACAAACAUUCUAAG
rnacentral:lncRNA from 1 species